AUUGAACGCUGGCGGCAGGCCUAACACAUGCAAGUCGAACGAGUGGGGACGGGUGAGUAACAUGUGGGUAACCUCCCAUCAGAGGGGAUAACACUUGGAAACAGGUGCUAAACCGAUACUGAUGGAUGGACCCGCGGUGAAUUAGCUAGUUGUUGAGGUAAAGGCUCACCAAGGCCACGAUGCAUAGCCGACCUGAGAGGUUGAUCGGCCAUACUGGGACUGAGACACGGCCCAGACUCCUACGGGAGGCAGCAGUAGGGAAUCUUCGACAAGGGACGAAAGUCAGACCGCGCCACGCCGCGGGAGUGAAGAAGGCUUUCGGAUCGUAAAACUCUGUUGUUAGCGAUGCGUUAUCUAACCAGAAAGCCACGGCUAACUACGUGCCAGCAGCCGCGGUAAUAC
rnacentral:rRNA from 1 species